UACGUACCCCAAAGUCAGGGAUAAUCCGUCGAAAGGCGGAAUAAUACUUGAUGGUCUCUUCGGAGUAAAGAUUUAUCGCUUUGGGAACGGCCUGCGGGCUAUCAGCUUGUUGGUAAGGUAACGGCUUACCAAGGCUACGACGGCUAGGGGAGGUGAGAGCCUGACCCCCACCGAUGGAACUGCGACACGGUCCAUACUCCUACGGGAGGCUGCAGUCGAGAAUCUUCCGCAAUGGACGAAAGUCUGACGGAGCGACGCCGCGUGGUG
rnacentral:rRNA from 1 species